rnacentral:rRNA from 1 species
AUGCUCAAGGAGGACCGGUGGGGAGGGACGGAGGGGAUCAUGGACUUCAGGAGCAGCAACGGCGGGUCGUCCUCGGAGCGCGGGCCGGCGGAGGCGGCGCCGCUGACGAGGCAGGGGUCCAUCUACUCCCUGACGUUCGAGGAGUUCCAGAGCACGCUCGGCGGGGGCGCCGGCGUGGGAGGCAGCGACCUCGGCAAGGACUUCAGCUCCAUGAACAUGGACGAGCUGCUCCGGAGCAUCUGGACCGCCGAGGAGAGCCAGGCCAUGGCCGCCUCGGCCUCGGGCGCGGGCGCCGGCCCGCCGCCCACGUCGCUGCAGGGCCAGGGCUCGCUCACGCUGCCCCGCACCCUCAGCGCCAAGACGGUCGACGAGGUGUGGCGCAACCUCGUGCGCGAUGACCCGCUUCCGGUGGGUGCAGAGGGUGCCGAGCCGCAGCCCCAUCGGCAGGCGACGCUCGGGGAGAUGACCCUGGAGGAGUUCCUGGUCAAAGCCGGCGUGGUGCGAGAGAUCCCCACCGCUCCUGCAGUGCCGGCCCCGCCCAUGCAGCCGCGGCCGGUCCCCGUUGUCCCUAAAGGCCCUUCCUUCUACGGGAACUUCCCGAGCGCCAACGACGCCGGCGCGGCGGCGCUGGGGUUCCCGCCGGUCGCCAUGGGGGAUCUGGCCUUGGCCAAUGGGCUCAUGCCGAGGGCAGUGGGUAUGGGAGGCGCCCCCCUGGUUGUGCAAACUGCGGUCAACCCGGUUGAUUCCGGCGGCAAGGGGAGCGAGGAUCUGUCAUCGCCGUCGGAACCAAUGCCGUACUCGUUCGAGGGGAUUGUGAGGGGGAGGAGGACUGGCGGCGGCGUGGAGAAGGUGGUGGAGAGGAGGCAGAGGAGGAUGAUCAAGAACAGGGAGUCCGCCGCCAGGUCCCGUGCCCGCAAGCAGGCUUAUACAAUGGAGUUGGAGGCCGAAGUUCAGAAGCUCAAGGACCUGAACGAGGAACUGGUGAGGAAACAGAAAGAGAUACUGGAAAUGCAGAAAAGAGAGCAGGCCCCUGAGAUGAAGGAUCAGUUCGGACGGAAGAAGCGGCAGUGCUUGCGAAGAACGUUGACCGGCCCCUGGUGA